rnacentral:lncRNA from 1 species
GGUCAAAGUGCGUCGUCCCGGAGGUGCUCUGGAAGGGGGCGCGGCUGCCGCCUCCGAGGUCCUUGAGAUCGUUUUACUGCAAAACGCAACUCUGGUCACGCAGGGACCUGAGCGGACCACCUCGGCACUCUUCAAUUGGCCUCCCAGGACGGACUUCCGGCAAAGCCCCUGUGAGGACCCUGAAGCGUUUGCCAUGACAACCAUGGCGGGGCAAGUUCAAGCCGGGCCUCCUUUCUGCCUUGCCGGGCUUGGGGAUUGAGGGGCCUGGACCAAAGUCUGGAACCCGCAAUGUCCGCCACUGACCCUGGCGGAUGAUUGGACUGCCUUCGGUGGUAAUAACUUAGAAAUUGCUGGCCUGUCUUAGAUUCCUUGACUUAUUAUCAUCCUAGGCCCUUUACACAAACUUCAGCUUGAAAUAGUUGCAGUAAUAGGAUUUAUUGAGUCCAUAGGAAGCCAUCCACUAGGCUUUUUUUUUUUAAGUGGCAUUUAAUCUUUGGGACAAUCUAAUUAUAUAAGAGGUAGGUGUCAGGCUGUUCCUCUGUUCUACCUAAACUCUAAGAAAUGGUCAUUUUGGCCAGUCUGAGCUGGGGAUCACAUGCAGAUUUUUAACUGAUACGUCAUUUUGUCUUGUGUGAUUUCAUGCCACCGCUGGAGUCUGAGCCUUAAUGUUUUCUAUUUUAGUCUCUUUGGAAACUUAGCUUCUAGUCCUUAACACUUAAUGGAAGGACUUGGUUGUAGGUCCCUGGUACCAGGGCUUACAGGAAACACUCGUAUUAAAAUAGCUGAUAACCAAGUUGGUUUAGUUCUUAGAUUCUUGUUUUUAGCUGGACACACAAGUAACAUAUGCUUUUGUGUAUGUGCAUGUAAUUAUUUAAGCAAAAUAGGACACAAUAAAAACACAGGGAACUCUACUACCAGGCAGCUACCACUAUGUAGGUGUGUGAACACCUAUGACAGAAUCAGAUUCCUAUAGCUUUUUAACUGGAACUAGUAACAGGAUGUAUUUUGAAGGUCUGGUUGGUUGCUUUUCUAAGUUUUUUAUGUAUGUGUGUGCCAUGUAUAGGUACCUGAGAGGACCAGAAGAUGGUGUCAGAUCCUCGGGAGCUGGAAUUGCUGGCAGUUGUGUGUUGCCUGACAUCAUGAGUACUAGAAAGUUAACUCAGGUAUCUAUCUAUAAGAGCAGUAAGUGCUCUUAACCACUGAGCAGUGUCUCUAACCCAACAUGAUAGAUCUGUAUAUAUAAAUACAUAUAGAUAGGAAAUUAA